rnacentral:rRNA from 1 species
AUUGAACGCUGGCGGCAUGCCUUACACAUGCAAGUCGAACGGCAGCACGGGUGCUUGCACCUGGUGGCGAGUGGCGAACGGGUGAGUAAUACAUCGGAACAUGUCCUGUAGUGGGGGAUAGCCCGGCGAAAGCCGGAUUAAUACCGCAUACGAUCUACGGAUGAAAGCGGGGGACCUUCGGGCCUCGCGCUAUAGGGUUGGCCGAUGGCUGAUUAGCUAGUUGGUGGGGUAAAGGCCUACCAAGGCGACGAUCAGUAGCUGGUCUGAGAGGACGACCAGCCCAACUGGGACUGAGACACGGCCCAGACUCCUACGGGAGGCAGCAGUGGGGAAUUUUGGACACAGGGCGAAAGCCUGAUCCAGCAAUGCCGCGUGUGUGAAGAAGGCCUUCGGGUUGUAAAGCACUUUUGUCCGGAAAGAAAUCCUUGGCCCUAAUGCGGUCGGGGGAUGACGGUACCGGAAGAAUAAGCACCGGCUAACUACGUG